rnacentral:rRNA from 1 species
UCCACAAAGGGGAAAUGCUUUUUUUUGUGUUAUGAAGGGAUCCCACGCCACCCAUGGCCAUUAAAACCCGGGCCCAUAUUUUCUGGGGGGGCGCCGCGUGUGGGAAUUUUGGACAAUGGGCGCAAAGCCUUAACCAAGGCACGCCGGUUUAAAUAAAACAGCCCCUUGGGUUAUAAAAGUUCUUUCGUCGGAGAAAAAAAAUGACUGUACCCGAAAAAAGAAGGUCCGGGAUAAUUUCGUCCCAGCAGCCGCGGUAAUACGAAGGGACCUAGCGUAGUUCGGAAUUACUGGGCUUAAAGAGUUCGUAGGUGGUUGAAAAAGUUGGUGGUGAAAUCCCAGAGCUUAACUCUGGAACUGCCAUCAAAACUUUUCAGCUAGAGUUUGAUAGAGGAAAGCAGAAUUUCUAGUGUAGAGGUGAAAUUCGUAGAUAUUAGAAAGAAUACCAAUUGCGAAGGCAGCUUUCUGGAUCAUUACUGACACUGAGGAACGAAAGCAUGGGUAGCGAAGAGGAUUAGAUACCCUCGUAGUCCAUGCCGUAAACGAUGUGUGUUAGACGUUGGAAAUUUAUUUUCAGUGUCGCAGCGAAAGCGAUAAACACACCGCCUGGGGAGUACGACCGCAAGGUUAAAACUCAAAUGAAUUGACGGGGACCCGCACAAGUAGUGGAGCAUGUGGUUUAAUUCGAAGAUACGCGCAGAACCUUACCAACACUUGACAUGUUCGUCGCGACUUUAAGAGAUUAAAGUUUUCGGUUCGGCCGGACGAAACACAGGUGCUGCAUGGCUGUCGUCAGCUCGUGUCGUGAGAUGUUGGGUUAAGUCCCGCAACGAGCGCAACCCUCACUUUUAGUUGCCAUCAUUUAGUUGGGCACUCUGAAAGAACUGCCAGUGAUAAGCUGGAGGAAGGUGGGGAUGACGUCAAGUCCUCAUGGCCCUUACGUGUUGGGCUACACACGUGCUACAAUGGUAUCUACAACAGGAAGCGAAACGGCGACGUUAAGCAAGUCCUUAAAAGAUACCUCAGUUCGGAUUGCACUCUGCAACUCGAGUGCAUGAAGCUGGAAUUACUAGUAAUCGUGGAUCAGCGUGCCACGGUGAAUGCGUUCCCGGGUCUUGUACACACCGCCCGUCACACCAUGAGAGUUGGUUCUACCUUAAGGCAAGGUUUUAAACCCUUGACCACGGUAUAGUCAGCGACUGGGGUGAAGUCGUAACAAGGUAACCGUA